rnacentral:rRNA from 1 species
GUGAGGAAUAUUGCGCAAUGGAGGCAACUCUGACGCAGCCAUGCCGCGUGCAGGAAGAAGGCGCUACGCGUUGUAAACUGCUUUUAACCGGGAAGAAACCCCAGGACGUGUCCUGGGUUGACGGUACCGGAGGAAUAAGCACCGGCUAACUUCGUGCCAGCAGCCGCGGUAAUACGAAGGGUGCAAGCGUUAUCCGGAUUCAUUGGGUUUAAAGGGUGCGUAGGCGGAGCGUUAAGUCAGUGGUGAAAUCCUGCAGCUUAACUGUAGACUUGCCAUUGAUACUGGCGCUCUUGAGUGCGCUUGAAGUGGGCGGAAUGUGCCGUGUAGCGGUGAAAUGCGUAGAUAUGGCACAGAACACCAAUUGCGAAGGCAGCUCACUAAGGCGAUACUGACGCUGAGGCACGAAAGCGUGGAGAUCGAACAGGAUUAGAAACCCGGGUAGUCC